rnacentral:rRNA from 1 species
UGGGGAGCAAACAGGAUUAGAUACCCUGGUAGUCCACGCCCUAAACGAUGCAUGCUUGAUGUUGGGGAACUAGUUUCUUCAGUGUCGAAGGUAACCCGUUAAGCAUACCACCUGGGGAGUACGAUCGCAAGGUUGAAACUCAAAGGAAUUGACGGGGGCCCGCACAAGCGGUGGAUCAUGUGGUUUAAUUCGAUGCAACGCGAAGAACCUUACCUGGGUUUGAAGAGGGGCAGACAGGAGGUGAAAGCCUCCCUCUCCGCAAGGAGCUGUCACUUAGGUGCUGCAUGGCUGUCGUCAGCUCGUGUCGUGAGAUGUUGGGUUAAGUCCCGCAACGAGCGCAACCCUUGUCCUCAGUUACCAUCGUUCAGUCGGGGACUCUGAGGAGACCGCCGGUGACAAACCGGAGGAAGGUGGGGAUGACGUCAAGUCCUCAUGGCCUUUACGUCCAGGGCUACACACGUGCUACAAUGGCCGGUACAAACCGUCGCUACCUCGCAAGAGGGUGCCAAUCGGAAAAAACCGGUCUCAGUUCGGAUUGCAGGCUGCAACUCGCCUGCAUGAAGCUGGAAUCGCUAGUAAUCGCGGAUCAGCGCGCCGCG